rnacentral:misc_RNA from 1 species
GAUGAAGAACGCAGCGAAAUGCGAUACUUGGUGUGAAUUGCAGAAUCCCGUGAACCAUCGAGUCUUUGAACGCAAGUUGCGCCCGAAGCCAUUAGGCCGAGGGCACGCCUGCCUGGGCGUCACACGUCGUUGCCCCCCCAUCUACUCCUUCGGGAUUGCGGGGGGCGGAUGAUGGCCUCUCGUGCGCCUCGUCGCGCGGUUGGCCUAAAUGCCAAGUCCUCGGCGACGCACGCCACGACAAUCGGUGGUUGCGAAACCUCGGUUGCCUGUCGUGUGCGGUCGUCGCGCAUCGAGGGCUCGAAAAAAUUGCCGGGCUUCGGCUCGACUUUCAACGCGACCCCAGGUCAGGCGGGGUUACCCGCUGAGUUUAAGCAUAUCAAUAAGCGGAGGA